rnacentral:tRNA from 1 species
GUCCCCUCGGGGGCGCGGCGGCGAAAGCCGAAGUGGGAUGAAACCUGGGGUCGCAGGUUCGAGCCCUGCCGGGGACACCA